CCUACGGGUGGCAGCAGUGGGGCAUAUUGGGCAAUGGGCGCAAGCCUGACCCAGCACCGCCGCGUGAAGGACGAAGGCUUUCGGGUUGUAAACUUCUUUUAAGGGGGAAGAGCAGAAGACGGUACCCCUUGAAUAAGCCACGGCUAACUACGUGCAAGCAGCCGCGGUAAUACGUAGGUGGCAAGCGUUGUCCGGAUUUACUGGGUGUAAAGGGCGUGCAGCCGGAGCGACAAGUCAGAUGUGAAAGCCACGGGCUCAAACCGUGAACUGCAUUUGAAACUGUUUCCCUUGAGUGUCGGAGAGGUAAUCGGAAUUCCUUGUGUAGCGGUGAAAUGCGUAGAUAUAAGGAAGAACACCAGUGGCGAAGGCGGAUUACUGGACGAUAACUGACGGUGAGGCGCGAAAGCGUGGGGAGCAAACAGGAUUAGAUACCCGGGUAGUC
rnacentral:rRNA from 1 species